CUGUUCAUCCAAGUGAGUGACACGAUCGGAGACUCAAUACUCAAGAGUCCUUUAUGACAGUCUUCAAAUAAGUUCCAAAGUCCAGACCAUAACCAUCCAAGUUCCAGAGGAGGCAGCUUUUAGUUCCGCAUGUGGCAGCCUAGCACUUAAGCUGCCUAGCAGUGUGCUGCAUGAAGGAAAUGAAUUUCAUGAAGAGCAUAAAGAUUACAUUUGAAAAUUAUGGCGUUUCUGGGCUCUGGCUUCUCGAAAACUACUCAGCAUGGCAUGCUAAUGGAUUGUCAGGCCCCAAAGGUGGCAAGCACGGAGUGAAAUGACCGUCGGAAAGGGGCUGAGACAGGCUGGAGAGCUUCUGCGAGUACGAGGGAACCUAGUGUUGAUUUGAUGUUUUACAAUCGAAAGUGUUCAAUUAUAUCAAAAUUGUGCGCUUCUCGUUAUAUCUUCUUCACGUCACACAAUUACUGCUUUUUUAUUUCAUUUCCACUUCCAAGGAGGAAGCAACUGUUUCUAAAUGAUUUUAAGGCCUUUUUAGGUUUUUUUUUUUAAUUAAAAAAAAAUUUUUUUUUCCUGACUUGAAGUUUUACAUUCCUGGGGAGAAUUGACUGUUCUCCAAACAUGUGGCAUCUACCAGCACUUGGUGACAGCAAGAUCUGAGUCCUGGAAUCAAGUGCUUUAGUUAGUGUGUUUUUGAAGCAUCGGAUUAAGAAUGAUUUUCAGCAGACUGAAAGGUACCCAAUGAGAGAAGAUAAAUUUUACUUGGAAUAAGAAAGUCUAAGACUCCAGCGCUCUCAUAGAAGCUCCCUGUGGGGCUUUGAGAAAUGGUUUCAUCUGUCUGAGCUUCAAUUGUCAUUCCCUUGUGGUGUGUGUCUCUUUGAGUUUUGUCUGUAACAUUUCAGUUCUUUUUUUUCUUCUAGAGAGAGAGAGAGUGCACACAAGUGGGGGAGAGGGAGAGAGAGAGAGAGAGAGAGAGAGAG